rnacentral:rRNA from 1 species
UCGGGAACUUUGGGCAAUGGGCGAAAGCCUGACCCAGCAACGCCGCGUGAGGGAUGAAGUAUUUCGGUAUGUAAACCUCGAAAGAAUGGGAAGAAUAAAUGACGGUACCAUUUAUAAGCUCCGGCUAACUACGUGCCAGCAGCCGCGGUAAUACGUAGGGAGCAAGCGUUGUUCGGAUUUACUGGGCGUCAAGCGUGUGUAGGCGGUUUGACAAGUUGGAUGUGAAAGCUCCUGGCUUAACUGGGAGAGGUCGUUCAAAACUGUCAGACUUGAGAGUGGUAGAGGGAGGUGGAAUUCCGGGUGUAGUGGUGAGAUGCGUAGAUAUCCGGAGGAACACCAGUGGCGAAAGCGGCCUCCUGGCCCAUUUCUGACGCUCAGACACGAAAGCCAAGGUAGCAAACG